ensembl:lncRNA
ACCAAUGUAUGUACCAUAAAUCUCUAAAUGUAGUUUUAAUUUUGUGAAAAAUCAAGUGAACACAUUUAUUUUUUUAAACCUUUAUUUAACUAGGCAAGUCAGUUAAGAACAAAUUCUUAUAUUCAAUGACUGCCUAGUGGGUUAACUGCUUUGUUCAGGGGCAGAACGACAGAUUUUUACCUUGUCAGCUCGGGAAUUCGAUCUAGCAACCUUUCGGUUACUGGCCCAACACUCUAACCACUAGGCUACUUGCCGCCCCCUCUAACCACAAGGCUACCUGUCGUCGCCCCCUCUCUAACCACUAGGCUACCUGCCUGCCGCCCCUACAGUCAUAUGCCCCUACAGUCCUUGUAGGCUUACUACAUGUUAUUUAUCUGAUAUACUAAAUGCCUGUGGAGAUUUUGGUGAAACGCUACCAUGUUCACCAAGAAUAACACCCUACUGAAGGUUUAGAAGCCCUGAGGUCUGAAGGUUUAGAAGCCCCAAAGGUUUAGAAGCCCCAAAGGUUUAGAAGCCCCAAAGGUUUAGAAGCCCCAAAGGUUUAGAAGCCCCGAGGGUUUAGAAGCCCCGAGGGUUUAGAAGCCCUGAGGUCUGAAUACACAUUUUUCAUGAACAAUAAACUGAAGUACUCUUGACUGAAAGAGCUAUGUUCUGUGUGUGUGUAUGUAUGUAUACACACCAGCCCUUACUAUGCCAGUCCUCAUUACCCACAGGGCUCAAUUAACACUUAAGCCUGCUAACAGCCUGCGAAGCUGUAAAAUAACAAAAUGGAAAACAGCUAUAAAUUCACCUCCUAAUUGUCUUGCCUUCUACUUGACUCCAUUCGCUUCAUUGGACUCCUAAAAUAAAUGUAAGAUUCUGUGCCUUGUGGCAGAAAAACAUCAAGCCAUGGUCCCAAUAAUCUCUCCUUCCUCCUCAUGUGUUCCCUCGUUCACUACUC